AUGUGCGUAAAGGAGAAGGGCCAGGCUCUGAAUCAGAGGUGCGCUGUAUUUUGAAUGUUUUCUCACUCGUCAUAAAGGUUGCUGAAAAGCGAAGCUUGAAGUGGAAGAUGUAUCGGUUGCUCGUUCUGCUCAUCGUAUUUUACCAUGUGAAAUCACAGUAUAUCCACCAGAACCCCGCCGCCGUCUCCAAAUUUCCCGGAGAGGGUGUGAACCUGCAAUGCAGUGUGGAGGAGAGCAGCAGUAGUAUUCUCUACUUGUACUGGUACAAACAGUCCGCCGGAAAAGAACUACAACUGAUGUUUUACUCCAAUACAGCAGAGAACGUGGAUCCACAGAAGCCGGUGGACGGUUUCAAAGCCGACAGACCGAGUAACACCGAAUUCAACCUCAGGUCCCCCAGCCUCCAAGCGAAUCAUUCGGCAGUCUAUUACUGCGCCUGGAGUCUUCACAGUGACUCGGAGAGAUGAAGCAGCUCAACAAAAAGCCCAAAGGCGACAGGAAGCAACUUUUAUCGUCAAAACCUGCUGGUUUCGCAGUUUUUUCCUGUUUUUGUAGAAUCAUGGGCAACAAGGAAGAGGAUAGAAAGUAAUUACGUAUAGAGAUACUGUCAGAACAAAGAACUGCACAACACACAGAACAGGUCCUUCAAUUCUGAGCCGACACUCGAUGCUUAUAUAGCUAAAACCUUUUGUCCCCUGCUUAUUUGCGUAUGCGUCAAGAUGACUGUCAAAAGUUGCUCUUGCAUUCGCCUCUGCCACGUUCUCUAGUAGCGCAUUCCAGCAUUAACCAUCCUGUUGUUUUAAAUAAAAAGAGCUUGCCUCUCACAUUUCCUUUAAACUUUACCCCUUUUACCUUUAACUUAUGCCCCCUAGUGGUUGACAUUUUUGGCUUGGGGAUAACACUCCGUUCUAUUCAUGCCUGUCAAUUUUGUGAACUUAUAUCAGAUUGCCCUUCAUCCUUCAACGUUCAAUACCAUCCAAAGCAGGCCAGUGAAUCAUUUCCACACCCUCUCAAAGUCUCUACAUCCUUGUUGGUAGUGUGGUAGCGUUGAGGGCGAAUAUGAAAUUGAAAAUGGUAAAGCUCUCAACUACCAAGAAGGUUUGAACAGGUUCAUAUCGGUUGAAAAGCCCGAAGCUGUUUAAAAUUCUGGUGUGGGUUCAAUAGUUUAGGCUCUGCGGAACUUCUAAACUUGUAGUCACGGCAGUCCUCUCUGAGAGUAAAUCCAACUGGAAAAAAUCAACAGAAACAUUUUUUUUUACCGAGAUAGUAGUAAGAAUGUGGAAUUCGCAGAGCCACAGAAUGGAUUCGGGACAAGGCAUUGAAAAUAAGCGACUGACAGAAAAUGGCAGGGAAAAUACCAGGACGAUUUAAAAUUAUGUUUCUAUUGAUGCAACAGAGGGCGCUCUAGCAACAUGAAAUUCCCUUUUCCGAUGAAGGGUGACAUCUGAGGUUUAGACUUCAAUUUCGGAAAUAAAGUUGAAAUCUGUUUUCA